rnacentral:lncRNA from 1 species
GAGAGGUUUGGAGGCAUCAGGCGGCCCUUUACCAUGUGUGAGGAAACAAAAGCCACUGUGCAGAAAUGCGUGCAGACCCCUAGGCACAGCAAGGAGACUCUGAACAGACUCAACCAGGCGAUUCAGCAGUUGAAGAUGGAGGCAGGUGGUGCUCGGAGUCAGCCAUGUGAGCUACAGAAAACCAAAGACUUGGAGGCCAUGAAGGAUGUGGCCUCAGGCAGUGCUAAGGGUAAACUGGCUUGGCUGGAGGCUGCCCUGCAGCGGGCCAGGCAGGACAUGGCCCGGCAGCUACGUGAGUACCAGGAGCUUAUGAUCGUCAAAUUGGGCCUGGACUUUGAGAUCGCCACCUACCGCAGGCUGCUGGAGGGUGAGGAGCAGAGGCUUGGUCUGAGACUUGAGGCAGGGAGGUCCCAGCAGUGAUGUCAGUCCCGGCCUGACCUCUGUCUUAAGGGCACCCGGCGUCGGUUCCUGUGGCCUGGACAUGAGCGCCCCUGGUGGUGGCUGCUCUCUCUGCAGCUCCGCGGGCUGUGUUGGAGGCUUUGGCUGCCUUGGCUCCCGUGAAUGUUGAACCCCUCCCUCCGGAGAAGACUAGAAACUGGCGCUUCUGCCUCUUGUCUCAGAUUUCCUUGCCCACAGAGCUGGCCCUCUUCUCCCUUCCCCCUUUUGCACCUCACCUGGAACUAGACGGGACUCCGGUGUCGUCCUGUAGACAGGGCCUGUGGCUACCUGAACCUUGCAUCCUGCUCCUCUGACUGGUUCUAUUCUUGCCCCUCCCCCCCCAGGCUUGCCCUUUAAUAAAACAUUCUGUGGUGGUUAAGCAGCCA